GACGAACGCUGGCGGCGUGCCUAAUACAUGCAAGUCGAGCGGAACGGCGAAAGAGUGGGUAAUGCCUAGUAAUCUGCCUGGUGGUGGGGGAUACCGCCCGGAAACGGGACCUAAUACCGCAUACUAUCAAAUGACCCUCGGUUGGAUUAGCUAGUUGGUGGGGUAAAGGCCUACCAAGGCGACGAUCCGUCACCGGUCUGAGAGGGUGAUGAGUCACACUGGAACUGAGACACGGUCCAGACUCCUACGGGAGGCAGCAGUGGGGAAUAUGGGACAAUGGGCGAAAGCCUGAUCCAGCCAUGCCGCGUGUGUGAAGAAGGUCUUCGGAUUGUAAAGCACUUUAGUUAGGGAGGCGUUACCAACAGAAUAAGCAACGGCUAACUUCGUGCCAGCAGCCGCGGUAAUAC
rnacentral:rRNA from 1 species